rnacentral:rRNA from 1 species
GAUGAACGCUAGCGACAGGCCUAACACAUGCAAGUCGAGGGGCAACAUGGGCGUAGCAAUACAACUGAUGACGACCGGCGCACGGGUGAGUAACGCGUAUGCAACCUGCCUACUACAGGGGGAUAGCCCGAAGAAAUUCGGAUUAAUACCGCAUAAUACUUUCGAUUCGCAUGGAUUGAUAGUUAAAAAUUAAUUGGUAGUAGAUGGGCAUGCGUUCCAUUAGCCAGUUGGUGAGGUAACGGCUCACCAAAGCAACGAUGGAUAGGGGAACUGAGAGGUUUAUCCCCCACACUGGUACUGAGACACGGACCAGACUCCUACGGGAGGCAGCAGUGAGGAAUAUUGGUCAAUGGACGAGAGUCUGAACCAGCCAAGUCGCGUGAAGGAUGACUGCCCUAUGGGUUGUAAACUUCUUUUGUGCUAGAGUAAAAAAGAGUAUGUAUACUCUCUUGCAAGUAUAGUACGAAUAAGCAUCGGCUAACUCCGUGCCAGCAGCCGCCGUAG